AGUUUGAUCCUGGCUCAGGAUGAACGCUGGCGGCGUGCUUAACACAUGCAAGUCGAACGAAGCACAUUGAAGGAAUUCUUCGGAAGGAAAGUGAUGUGACUGAGUGGCGGACGGGUGAGUAACGCGUGGGUAACCUGCCUUACACAGGGGGAUAACAGUUAGAAAUGACUGCUAAUACCGCAUAAGACCACAGGGUCGCAUGAUCUUGUGGAAAAACUGAGGUGGUGUAAGAUGGGCCCGCGUCUGAUUAGCUAGUUGGUGAGGUAAGAGCUCACCAAGGCGACGAUCAGUAGCCGACCUGAGAGGGUGAACGGCCACAUUGGGACUGAGACACGGCCCAAACUCCUACGGGAGGCAGCAGUGGGGAAUAUUGCACAAUGGGGGAAACCCUGAUGCAGCGACGCCGCGUGAGUGAAGAAGUAUUUCGGUAUGUAAAGCUCUAUCAGCAGGGAAGAAAGUGACGGUACCUGACUAAGAAGCCCCGGCUAACUACGUG
rnacentral:rRNA from 1 species